rnacentral:rRNA from 1 species
GACAGAGGCCUCGAGCGUUAGGCGGAAUCACUGGGCUUAAAGCGCGUGUAGGCGGAUCGUUAAGUGCCUUGUGAAAUCCCGCGGCUCACCCGUGGAACCGCUGGGUAUACUGGGGGCCUUGGGCCAUUCAGGGGCGACUGGAACAAGCGGUGGAGCGGUGAAAUGCGUAGAUAUCGCUUGGAACGCCGACGGUGAAAACAGGUCGCUGGGAAUGUGCCGACGCUGAGACACGAAAGCCAGGGGAGCAAACGGG